rnacentral:rRNA from 1 species
UACGUAGGGUGCGAGCGUUAAUCGGAAUUACUGGGCGUAAAGUGUGCGCAGGCGGCGCCGCAAGUCGAGUGUGAAAGCCCCGGGCUUAACUUGGGAAUUGCGCUCGAAACUAUGGUGCUGGAGUGUGGCAGAGGAAGGUGGAAUUCCACGUGUAGCGGUGAAAUGCGCAGAUAUCAGGAAGAACACCGAUGGCGAAAGCAGCUCCUCGU